rnacentral:lncRNA from 1 species
UCUCUUUGGAACCCCGACUCCUGUCGCUGGUCUGUAAUUUGGCUGUGCAGCCAGAGUCUCCAUGUAUUUCCGCAUCUUCUCAACCAUCCAGGACGGCAGAACAAAGGAUUUCAGCUCCUCCAACUUCAGGUCCAAGCAUCCUCUGGAGGAGACAUUGGAUGGACAUUAAAGGGAGGGUGAUGGUCUCGUCCGUGUGCCUAGUGAGGCCGAAGCAGGAUGGGGAAAGGGGCCUUCGCUAUACCUGUAGUCAUCGCUGGCAGCCAGGUCUCGGAUGUCCUCCUCAAUGAGAAGGGGCCCAGAGGCUCGGCCACCGUCAGUGUCCACACAAGCAUACCUUGGGGCCUUCUCGGCGGACCGGCUCACAGGAUUUCGGUCUCCAUCUGCUCAGAAGGAGAGACAGCAGCUGCCCUGAGCUCAACCUGGAUGUAAGUGGCUUCCUGAUGUCCCUCAAGU